GUGUAACAAACACACAAACAACAGCUGCUGUAUGUAAAGAGUAAACGAAAUGCAACACUGCGUCACGUGUCACUAACUCUAGUUGAUAGGAAAGCGAAAGGAGAUUUGUUGGAACUGUUCUAACACAGAGUGCAGUUACGAAUAGAAUCAAUUGCAAUGUAAAGUUGUAAAGAAGCACCAGCAGGGAAACAAGAUGAACAGUGGCAACCAACAGCACACAUACAUACAGCGUAAUGUCUCCAUCCAGUUUAUGAGUGUGCAUCCUAGGCAUGUAUCAUAUUUGCAAGUAAACAUUUUCAAAGCUCAAGGCGCGACAGCAAUGCAUAGCAAACACACACAUAAGCAAACAGUGAACGUAACUAGAGCGUAAUCAAAUAAUUCAGCCUAAUAGAAGGAAAUCAAGCAAGAAGAAAUAAAUUUAAAAAACGGUUAGGAAAAAUAAUCAUUAAAACAUUUCUCAACUUCGAAUACAAAAAUACCAUUCAAAAACUUUGGUAGCAAUUGAUUGUUUUCUCUUAUAUAGCGCUGACUGAUGCGUGGUUUAGGUAGUACAUACACACACGUAGAGGUUAUAACCUAUUCCAUCGUGUUUAAUGUAGUUGCAGCUAAAAAAAGGGAAAUGCAUUUGAACCAUUGUGCUGUUUGUUUGCUGAGUGCGCGAGAGUUUUUGUUUGCUCCUCUUCGCGAGCGUGUUUUCAUGGUAGUUAAAAUUCUAAUCUGUGCGCAAAACAUAAAAAGAACAAGACGACAAGAGAGAGAACAGAAACCAAUCAUGCAAAGCCUCGAGAUCAUCUCUGUACGCAGAGAGGUUCGCUAAACACCUGCUAAUAAGAUGUUAAUAAGUAAGCGGCAUGGAGAUGUGUGUAAUUCGUACUAGGUAAACUUACACCAUACGGUAAUGUCAAAGGGCGCGUGGAGACAUAUACACGGGAUGCGGAUAAAGUAAAACAAAAUAUACACAAACCAACAAAUCUGAACUCCGGAGGCUCAAUGAUAGAGUUACAGCUCGUAAUUAAUAUUGAAGAAAAAAAAAGUGGUGUUGCGCGGUUCAUUUUAUUUCCUUCGGUGGAGGUAGUUUCGAAGCGAAAAUGGUCUCAUCCGAACGUUAGUACUGUUUUUGUCAGUUACGUACAACUGGUACAACUGGUGUAACAAACACACAAACAACAGCUGCUGUAUGUAAAGAGUAAACGAAAUGCAACACUGCGUCACGUGUCACUAACUCUAGUUGAUAGGAAAGCGAAAGGAGAUUUGUUGGAACUGUUCUAACACAGAGUGCAGUUACGAAUAGAAUCAAUUGCAAUGUAAAGUUGUAAAGAAGCACCAGCAGGGAAACAAGAUGAACAGUGGCAACCAACAGCACACAUACAUACAGCGUAAUGUCUCCAUCCAGUUUAUGAGUGUGCAUCCUAGGCAUGUAUCAUAUUUGCAAGUAAACAUUUUCAAAGCUCAAGGCGCGACAGCAAUGCAUAGCAAACACACACAUAAGCAAACAGUGAACGUAACUAGAGCGUAAUCAAAUAAUUCAGCCUAAUAGAAGGAAAUCAAGCAAGAAGAAAUAAAUUUAAAAAACGGUUAGGAAAAAUAAUCAUUAAAACAUUUCUCAACUUCGAAUACAAAAAUACCAUUCAAAAACUUUGGUAGCAAUUGAUUGUUUUCUCUUAUAUAGCGCUGACUGAUGCGUGGUUUAGGUAGUACAUACACACACGUAGAGGUUAUAACCUAUUCCAUCGUGUUUAAUGUAGUUGCAGCUAAAAAAAGGGAAAUGCAUUUGAACCAUUGUGCUGUUUGUUUGCUGAGUGCGCGAGAGUUUUUGUUUGCUCCUCUUCGCGAGCGUGUUUUCAUGGUAGUUAAAAUUCUAAUCUGUGCGCAAAACAUAAAAAGAACAAGACGACAAGAGAGAGAACAGAAACCAAUCAUGCAAAGCCUCGAGAUCAUCUCUGUACGCAGAGAGGUUCGCUAAACACCUGCUAAUAAGAUGUUAAUAAGUAAGCGGCAUGGAGAUGUGUGUAAUUCGUACUAGGUAAACUUACACCAUACGGUAAUGUCAAAGGGCGCGUGGAGACAUAUACACGGGAUGCGGAUAAAGUAAAACAAAAUAUACACAAACCAACAAAUCUGAA